AUGAUUCUGGACAUGGGUGAGGCCAACAAGGUUCUGCGUAUUACAAGUGAUGCUAUUCACCAUCUAUUUGGAUUCCCUCAAGGUAGGUGUACCCCUCCUCGGCCCUCGAAUGAUGGGUUUGAUGAUGUUGUUAUGAGGUUGAAGCGCAAGCUUGGGUACGCUAGGAGUGACGACAUGAAGACAAAGGAUCUGCGGAAUAUCCUCGCGAAACUUGUGAAGGAUGAGACGAAGGAUGAUCUUGCUCUACAGAGUGCUGUUGUUAGGUAUCAGCAAGGUACUAGCAGAGGAAAAGCUAUCACAGGCUGUGCCAUCGCGCCGCUUCUUAUGUAUCUGUACUGCGUUAUCAUUGGCAAGACGCCUAAUAUUGACUUGAGGACCCCUCGCAUCAAUUUCAUGGAUCAGGUCAAGCUUCUUGAGAUUGCUGUGGCUGACUUGGUCAAGAAGGGUGAUGAUGACCCAGCCAACUGGGUGUUUGGGAGACUGCCUAUGAGUGUUGUUUUCCCCACUUUUGGCCCGCCUGAGAUUCCUGCUUCCAUGGGUGGUGUUGGUCAUUGGGUUUCGAUAUUUCUUGACGUGAAGAAUUCAAGGUUCCAGCUUCUCGACUCCUAUUAUGGACCAGAAGAUGAAUGUGCGGUACGCCUGUUUCGGCGGAUGACCAACAACAUCAAUAAGCUUUGGAGCUAUGCCAGCAACGACAGGGAGACACCCUUCAGUCCUCUUACCAUCGACCAUUUCGCUGUGGAUUGGAUUGAUGUGCCCCAGCAGCAAAACAAUAUCGACUGCGGAUUCUUCAUGCUUACGAAUGUUAAUUCGUAUCAUGAUGGGGUUCUUACAAAUUAUUCCCAUGAAAAUAUCGCGGAUAUCAGGAAGAUGUGGCUGUACUCAAUCGCUUCUUCUAACCUGUUUGAGACAGACUUCCAAGCUCUGUUUGGCUACUACACAUUGGAUCCGUUGGACUUAACUGAUUACCACUACUCAUUCCUCGGGUCACAGGAAUACCAGCCUAGGGAGGAAUCAAUUAGUACAGCUCCAAUAGAAGAUGAUAGACCUCGAACCCUUAUUCCUUCCAAGUUGGGGAAGCAGGCUGGUGGUAUUCAUGGUACUCCAAAAAACCCUUGCUCCAAGAAGGUUGGUGUAGUCGAAGCAGCCGAAGCAGAAGUUAUUUCGUCCGAUAAUGAUUUUGAGAAGAUUGCUUACCCAAAGAAUGUUAAAUGUGUUGCUGUGCAGCAGAUGGAAGGAGAAAAAAUGGAUUAUCUCAUAAAUUUGUGGAAGGAUAAGCCGGAUACCUCUAAGAUAUUCACUAGUGCUGACAGGAUUAUACUUAGUCCCUACUUCAUACAGUACUACCUGGAGUAUGAUUUCUUCGGUGCAACAGUUCCAAAGUGUGAUGCAAAAAAAAUCUGCUGGUCUCCUCCCAAUGUUGUUCGCAAGGAAGAAGACCUUCUUAACGCAAAGCUGGUUUUCUUGAUACUAUUCAAGCCAAUUGGCACAAUGGCGCACUAUAGUGUGUAUGUGGUGAAUAGAUAUCCUAGGAGCAUUGACAUCCUUGAUUCAUUUCCUUGCGCUAAAAUGGAAACAUCGCAAACGAGUUUCCACGGGGACUGUCAAAAUAUCAUCAAGAGAUUUGUUGGGUUGCUCGAGGAGGUAUACGGCAAGGCUGCGUACAAAGCGAGCAAGCAGCCUAACUGGGUGACUAUUGCAAAGAGGCUGACUUUUAUCGAUGUUCCAAAGCAGAAGAGCAAUGAUUGUGGUUUCUUUGCCGUGAAGUUCUGCUCUUCAUAUGAUGGCGAUGAGAUUGUUGAAGAUUUUGGUGAUGUGGAAGCUACUGCAGAUGACUGGAAGGCUGAGUUCAUGCACACUCUAAUGUUUAGUGAGAAGAAUGAAGUCAUUCGUUCAGAGCUCCCUAAAGAGAUCCAGUCCUUUGGCCCAUGA
rnacentral:rRNA from 1 species